AAACCAACAGGGAUUGCCUUAGUAGCGGCGAGUGAAGCGGCAAAAGCUCAAAUUUGAAAUCUGGCACCUUCGGUGUCCGAGUUGUAAUUUGAAGAUUGUAACCUUGGGGUUGGCUCUUGUCUAUGUUUCUUGGAACAGGACGUCACAGAGGGUGAGAAUCCCGUGCGAUGAGAUGCCCAAUCCUAUGUAAGGUGCUUUCGAAGAGUCGAGUUGUUUGGGAAUGCAGCUCUAAGUGGGUGGUAAAUUCCAUCUAAAGCUAAAUAUUGGCGAGAGACCGAUAGCGAACAAGUACAGUGAUGGAAAGAUGAAAAGAACUUUGAAAAGAGAGUGAAAAAGUACGUGAAAUUGUUGAAAGGGAAGGGUUUGAGAUCAGACUCGAUAUUUUGUGAGCCUUGCCUUCGUGGCGGGGUGACCCGCAGCUUAUCGGGCCAGCAUCGGUUUGGGCGGUAGGAUAAUGGCGUAGGAAUGUGACUUUGCUUCGGUGAAGUGUUAUAGCCUGCGUUGAUGCUGCCUGCCUAGACCGAGGACUGCGA
rnacentral:rRNA from 1 species